GAUGAACGCUAGCGGCAGGCCUAAUACAUGCGAGUCGAACGGGUGGUCGCAAGACCACUAGUGGCGCACGGGUGCGUAACGCGUAACCAACCUGCCCCGAUCUGGGGGAUAGCCCGCCGAAAGGCGGAUUAAUACCGCAUAUACCCGCAGCCUGGCAUCAGGCAACGGGGAAAGAUUUAUUGGAUCGGGAUGGGGUUGCGUGACAUUAGCUAGUUGGCGGGGUAAGGGCCCACCAAGGCGACGAUGUCUAGGGGACCUGAGAGGGUGAUCCCCCACACUGGCACUGAGAUACGGGCCAGACUCCUACGGGAGGCAGCAGUAGGGAAUAUUGGGCAAUGGGCGAGAGCCUGACCCAGCCAUGCCGCGUGCCGGAUGAAGGCCUUCUGGGUUGUAAACGGCUUUUCUCAGGGAAGAAAAAGACCUUGCGAGGUACACUGACGGUACCUGAGGAAUAAGCACCGGCUAACUCCGUG
rnacentral:rRNA from 1 species